rnacentral:tRNA from 1 species
GGGGCGGUGGCGAAAUGGCAGCCGCGGCGGGCUUAAAACCCGCUGGGGUUAAUCCCCCGUGUGGGUUCGACUCCCUCCCGCCCCA